GACCACGUUGAUAGGCCGGGUGUGGAAGUGCGGCAACGCAUGAAGCUUACCGGUACUAAUAGCUCGAUCGGCUUGAUCAUUCUCAUU
rnacentral:rRNA from 1 species